AAGUAAAAGUCGUAACAAGGUCUCCGUUGGUGAACCAGCGGAGGGAUCAUUACCGAGUUUACAACUCCCAAACCCAUGUGAACAUACCUACUGUUGCUUCGGCGGGAUUGCCCCGGGCGCCUCGUGUGCCCCGGACCAGGCGCCCGCCUAGGAAACUUAAUUCUUGUUUUAUUUUGGAAUCUUCUGAGUAGUUUUUACAAAUAAAUAAAAACUUUCAACAACGGAUCUCUUGGUUCUGGCAUCGAUGAAGAACGCAGCGAAAUGCGAUAAGUAAUGUGAAUUGCAGAAUUCAGUGAAUCAUCGAAUCUUUGAACGCACAUUGCGCCCGCCAGUAUUCUGGCGGGCAUGCCUGUCUGAGCGUCAUUUCAACCCUCAUGCCCCUAGGGCGUGGUGUUGGGGAUCGGCCAAAGCCCGCGAGGGACGGCCGGCCCCUAAAUCUAGUGGCGGACCCGUCGUGGCCUCCUCUGCGAAGUAGUGAUAUUCCGCAUCGGAGAGCGACGAGCCCCUGCCGUUAAACCCCCAACUUUCCAAGGUUGACCUCAGAUCAGGUAGGAAUACCCGCUGAACUUAAGCA
rnacentral:rRNA from 1 species